AAUUACCCUCAAUAUGGCUUAGCCUGUCUGAUGAGAUGAUUUUACCAAAGUAUAGUCACUGUGCAUGAUACAACUUCUUGGAGCUGAGUCUGCUAUACUCAAUAAACAGAUUACAUGAUGGAACAGAAAACCAGAAGAAAGGAGCCAGAGGAAUUCAAGAUAAGCUACUUUCACAAGUAGAAUAUUUAAGAACUCUAGAAGUUAGAAAAAUAUUUAAGAAAAAAACAUGGUUAAAAUGUGCAAAUAUACAGUCAACAGCAUAUACAAA